ensembl:snRNA U6 U6 spliceosomal RNA
UUGCUUCAGCAGCAGACAUCCUCAAAUAGGAACCAUGCAGAAAAGACUAAUGGCUCCUGCACGAGGGUAACACACACAUCUGUGAACUGUUUUCUACUUUU